rnacentral:rRNA from 1 species
GAUUAACGCUGGCGGCGUGCAUAACACAUGCAAGUCGAACGAUGAAACUUUAAUGAACCCUUCGGGGAGAAUUAAAGCGGAUUAGUGGCGAACGGGUGAGUAACGCGUGAGUAACCUGCCUUACACAAGGGGAUAGCCUUUGGAAACGAAGAAUAAUACCCUAUAAAACCAUAAAAGCACAUGCAAUUAUGGUCAAAGUGAUAGCGGUGUAAGAUGGACUUGCGUCUGAUUAGCUAGUUGGUGAGAUAAAAGCCCACCAAGGCAACGAUCAGUAGCCGGCUUGAGAGAGUGUACGGCCACAUUGGGACUGAGACACGGCCCAGACUCCUACGGGAGGCAGCAGUGGGGAAUUUUGCACAAUGGGGGAAACCCUGAUGCAGCGACGCCGCGUGAUUUAGGAGGCCUUCGGGUUGUAAAAAUCUUUUGUAUAGGAAGAAAAUGACAGUACUAUACGAAUAAGGUCCGGCUAAUUACGUG